UUUCCGUAGGUGAACCUGCGGAAGGAUCAUUACUGAAUUUAAUUCCGGGGUUGUAGCUGGCCAUUGUUUUGGCAUGUGCACACCUUGGUAUAAUCCAAAUUCAUUCACACCUCUGUGCACCAUUUCGUGGGAUUGAAGGGUAAUGAAGGAGAAUUGCGCCUAGCUCUUCUUUUCUUUGCCUGAAUUUUCCAUGUCUUUGUAUAUACUCUACAGUUUUAGAAUGUUUAAUUGCGUUGAACGCAUUUAUAUACAACUUUCAGCAACGGAUCUCUUGGCUCUC
rnacentral:misc_RNA from 1 species